ACCCUGUUGAGGAAAGUGAAACAGACCUUCUGCCUUACAAUGGAAAUGAACUCGAACAACAUUCUUCUACAUCUGCAUAUGAUACGAUGUCUACAGCUGACAGCUGUGCCAGCACAGUAUUGUUGUCCUGUUUGGCAAGCCAACCAGAGCUUGAGCCUCAAAGUGAAAUUGAUCAUCAUCUUUCCACCUCUUUCAAUUAUACCAUGUACUAUCAGAACAGCUGUACCAACACUCUAUUAAGUUCCUGUUUGGAACAGAUGGAAAUGGCUGCUAGUAUUCACAUCGAGGCUCUACAAGGAGAAAGAGUUACCGAACAGCAGCCAUCUUAAAAAAAAAAAGGAUGAAGCAGCAGAAGGAGAGAAGGCUGAAAAUUUGUGGAAAGAAAAAUAAGAGGAUGUCUACAAGGCUUUCGUAACAUCACAUGCUUCAUCUGCUCAUGGGAGGAUGUGUUCUUCAGAUGGAUGUCUUAAUUCCCUUUUUGACCAUCAUAUUCGCUGUGAUGAUUGUAAACGUCACUUCUGCCAUAGCUGCGAUAAAUCCAUUCAUUUUCGGUUACCGUUCCAUAAACGAAUAUGGCUUAAUACGGAAAGCUCUAAGGUAUUGGACCACACACAAUUUAUUAAGGAAAACGGAUCAGUUUCCAAGCAAGAGGUUCCAGUACCAGUAUUUAUUCCUUCAGCUUUCCAAAAGUGUCAAUCGUCUUCUCUUUCAAUUGCUGCUGGAAACGACUUUUGUAUCGUCAUUACUGCGAAUGGAAGGUUUGAUCUAAGUACAGCUUUGUUUCGCUGCAAUUCAUGCGAAUGUACUUUCGAUGCCACACUUGAUGAUUGCAUUCUAUCCGGUUUUUGGCCACCCGUGCCUAACAAGUUCACUUUUCUAUGUUGCAGUCAACUGCUAACUCUGUGGCAUCAUCUAAAAUGGCUUACCCCAGGAACUUCUGAACAAAAGUUCUUGGAAACGAUUUCAGCUAUGUUAGUAGAGGGAUCGAGAGUGAGUAUUAAAAAGUUAACCCUUUAAAGUAAUUCAGUCGUCAUGUUCACAUUUUUCAAUUACUUUUAGUGUCUCUCAAUUAAAACUCCUAUGUUAGCAAGAGCUGGCCAGGCUCAUGAGUUUACACGACACUUAACUGAUUCACGAAUAAAGCAGGUGGAUACGCUUUCAUGUCGUGCCUGUAUUGAUGAAAAAACCGGGAAUCCUUCCCUCCUCUCCGGCCAUCCUGAUGCAAAUCAUAAACUAACAAGGACUGAUCGUAAAAAUGAACGCCCAGCUAGGUCUUGGUAUGGUAGUGAGGUUAUUGCUGGGAAUGAACUUAAUAUUUCGAAAUCCGGAAGACUAAUAUUCUUGGAAGUUAACAUUUUAUCGGAGGAAAUCUUGAGAUUAAAAGCUGUUUAUGACGAAGCAUGGUCAUACCUCCGAUACUUCUGCGAAACCCCCAUUUUCUCUGAAUCUUUGAUUGAUGUUCAUGAAAGUGAUGACUACGACUCCGACACUUAUAGUGAAA